UAUAUAUUUAUUUAAAUAUGGGUAUUAUACUAUGCAUUUUUUUCUUAGUUGGCACUCUAUGUGCUUUCAUUCCUGGAACCCAAAGACCUGCUACAAGCGGCUCAGACAUGUCGCUACUGGAGAAUUUUGGCUGAAGACAACCUUCUCUGGAGAGAGAAAUGCAAAGAAGAGGGGAUUGAUGAACCAUUGCACAUCAAGAGAAGAAAAGUAAUAAAACCAGGUUUCAUACACAGUCCAUGGAAAAGUGCAUACAUCAGACAGCACAGAAUUGAUACUAACUGGAGGCGAGGAGAACUCAAAUCUCCUAAGGUGCUGAAAGGACAUGAUGAUCAUGUGAUCACAUGCUUACAGUUUUGUGGUAACCGAAUAGUUAGUGGUUCUGAUGACAACACUUUAAAAGUUUGGUCAGCAGUCACAGGCAAAUGUCUGAGAACAUUAGUGGGACAUACAGGUGGAGUAUGGUCAUCACAAAUGAGAGACAACAUCAUCAUUAGUGGAUCUACAGAUCGGACACUCAAAGUGUGGAAUGCAGAGACUGGAGAAUGUAUACACACCUUAUAUGGGCAUACUUCCACUGUGCGUUGUAUGCAUCUUCAUGAAAAAAGAGUUGUUAGC
rnacentral:sRNA from 1 species